AAGGUUAAGAUAUAUUAUCAUACCCCAUAAUCUGAAUUGUAAAUAAGUAGAUCUUGGCACGUGCAGCAUGUGUGAUUUAUUCAGUAAUAAAGAGCUUUUGAUUGAUGGUUGUGACACAUAAUAUGAGAUUUCCAUUGAUUAAUUUGAUAAAUUUCUUUUAUUUUAAGUUUAUACAUAUACUCUCUUAUCAAAUUAGGGAUAUAUAUUUUUAAUAGAAUAACUUUUUUUGUGGGGGA
rnacentral:lncRNA from 1 species